UCCUCGAGUCUCCUCGAGUCUCCUCUCCUCUCCAUGCAAAAUGCAAAUGUCCAGAGAAAUUCCCCAAAAUUUGAAAAGAAAAUAUGCUUGCCCAGCUCCAGUGUGAUCCUUAUGACAUACAAGGUCUUUAUGUUUGGUUUCUUUCCUUUGAUGUGAAUGAACUUGCCUGGAGUUAAGUGAUUAGUCAUUACUUGAAUGGCUCCAUCUUGGUGGUGUUGGUGACUAAGUGUAGCUACCCAAAUUUAAUUUUUUUUUUUAGAAAAGGUACUUACCUUAAUGCUUUUAGCAUUAAAAAUGGUGGAACUGGAACCUUUUUAUUCUUUUUUGUGCCUCAUAUAACUUCAUCUAUGCAAUAUAGUAACUUGUGGUAGAACAAGGAAUCUAUUUGUUUUGUUUUGGAGGAGCCAGGAAAGUUCUAAAACAAUUUUCAAGUACCACAGUUUUUUAACAAAAGCAGCUUGGGUAUAAUGUUUCUUGUAUUGGGUAAUAAAACUUGGAUCAAUAUUCAUUGCUACUCUUAUUUGAUUUCGCAAUCCAGGUACCAGAAUAAAAAAAAAAACAACCAAAAAAGGCCACAACCAUCAAACAAAACCACUGGCAAUUUACUUGCAUAAUAUGAAUUUUUGCAGUUGAGUUCUCCACAAUAUAUUUUACUUGCAGAUUUCAAAGGAUGAAAAACAGUGAUAACUUUAAUUAAUAUAUUAAAGGUGAGUAAUAUUUUCAUAUUACCUUUUAAAGAUAUUUUCAAUCCCCCAGAAAUUUUAAAUGAGGGUAAUUAAUUUGGAAUUUUAGUGUACCAUGAAAAUGGCACACAUUUUAUGUCCAUUAAACUGGCAGCAAAGCAGACUGGUGGGCAUUUAGUACAAGUACAUGGAGAAGUUCUGAUGCAAUGGAGACCACCUUUCUCUAGGAUUUGUUCACAAUGUCUGAGGAAAAGAUGUAUUGCCACCAGUAAAUCCAGAAUGAGAACUACUUCUAAACAACAUUAGAAAUAAUCUAGUCUCAGGAAAGUCUCAAGGAUAUUGUAAUACAGAAAUGUCUGCAUCAAGCAUGAAAUAAAUCUGUGUUAGACUUUGUGAUGCACCAAGCAGUAUUGGCUGUUGAUUGCCAAAAACUCUCAGUAUCUCUACUUCAUGGAAACAAAGGUUUUGCACCAGGCAGAAUUAUGUGAAACAUAAAAUUGACGAGUUCAUCAGAACAAUUUGUUUCAUUAACCAAGUGCUAAAAGGGGAAGCUUUAAUAGAAAGUGGGACUUCUCAAGGAAAUCCUGCUGAGUAUUCUAAAGGCUAUGCUUUAAUGAGCAGACGAGUAAGUUACCUUGGAGAGGAAAGCUAGCCUAGUAAAGAAGGAACAAAGGUGAUAAUUAAACAAGAAAUCAAUGUUAAGUAUGGAAAAGAGAGGCAUAACUGAGAAUGAAAAUUGAAUCUACACAAUGUAAAUGACUUUUUGGAGAAGAUAAAGGUAAUAAAUAAUUAUUACUGGCCGAUAGAGCUUAAGACAAUAAGAAGACAUUACCAAUGAAUUUGGAACAAAAGAACAACUAAAUCAAGUAUAGAUUUCAGUCUUGCAGAAGAAAACCAGAAAAGAACCAAUGGCUGGAAAUCAAAGCUUGAAAAAUUCAAUCACUAUAAAGAUGCAGUGAGGGUGAUUAGACGUAGAAAUAAUUUCCCAGUGUAGGUAGGUGGUAAGUUUGCCAUUGCUAGGAAUUUAAUCCAAUUGGAUACACUUUAAUCUGAGUCUGGGAACAAGCUUGGCAGAAUCUCUGUGGAUGGCAGCAGAGGUCAUUUGUUCUGUGCAAUCUUUACAUCUGUGAAUUUGUAUUUGUGUUUUGUCACUCCCUUUUUUCAUAAACUGUUACAAAGAACAGAGAGCUCUCAUUGCUCACAACAUGUUCACACACUCAGCUUUGCUUUAAGAUAAUGAUUAAAAAAUCUCAGUCUUAUGCUUCAGGGCUUCAGCUGGCUGCUUGCAGAAGGUGAGAGGCUGAUUCUCUAGGUUAAUUCUGGAUAUUUUUUUAAAUUCAUUUUUCUCCAAAGCCUCAGGGUCAGACAUGGCUGGUGGUAAAACCUUGGAGAGACUGGGCUGCUUCUCCGCAGGGAAGUUCUCUCUUUUAUAUAGCUGCUAUCUUCUGUCUGGCUAGGGGAUCAGACAGUUUUAGGGUAGCAGGGACUUUGAGCUCUUUUUUCUUUCCUGUUCAUUACGACAUCUAGGCAUAUCUGAGAUCAUAAUUAUGAUCAUUUGGGCAUAUCUGAUAUAAACAACUCAAAAUCAUUACUGGAGCCUGGGGGAGAGGCAUCAGAGUUUUUUUUUGAAUUCUCAUUAGCUUAAUUUCUUCAAGAUAGAUUUUUCUUUUGUUUUGUUGGGACUUUUUUGGGGAUUUUGUUGGUUUUCUUUUUUGCAUAACCCAGCUCACUGUGGCAAGCAAUGGUAAACAGGUGAACAAUUACACCACACACAAAACAGCAGGCUGUCUGUUAUGGUUUAAAUCCUGAAUUAUAGCUUACUCUUGCUGCAGUAAGAGUUAUAGGUUACAAAUACUGUUUAUUUUUUCAGAAAGGGCUGCUGCCAGUUGGGAUGCUUGAUGGAGUUGCAGAGCUGCCACACAGGCUUUCUGAGUGCUGCUUUGCUGGCUGCAUGCAGCAGCUAACAAAGGGUGUGUUGUGCUUGCAGCAGCGUUGCUUCCAAGUCUGGCUUUCCUUCUGCAGUACUGCUUUUGUUUAAAAAACCUGCUCCUCCAAAGCAAGAAUAAGAAACUUUAUUAACAUUGCACUAUCAGAGUGGCAGGAUACAACAGAUUUGCUUAUUGUUUUGGUUCUGUUGAAUUGCAAAGAGCAGUGGGUGGAAAGGGUAUGUCAGGAGAUACUGGAAGCCAAGCUAUGUAUCAUCAUCUCCUAAGAGGCAAACAGGUCUGCCAGCGUUCUGCCUGGUGGCUGUGCUGGCAGGUGUCUGCUCUUAAACUGCUCUGUUACAUGCAUGUGAAAGUACUCACGUGCUUCAAAAAUAUCCUCUUUUCCAUUCAGAAAGCUGUCAACAGGCACCUAUUAUCCUUCAAAGCUGUGAAAAGAGACCUGCUGUUUCAUCAACAUCAGCAUGUUUUCUUCCUAAGCAUGUGCAGAAAAGAGAGCCUCCCUCUGAUAUGAGCCCUUAUAUAUUAUAUUUGUGUGUCAAGUUGAGGGACAUCUUUUCAGGUGCUACUUACUGUGUGCAAGUGGAACUGGCACUUGCUUGGGUAAAUAAACAUAUUGGCUUAUUGCACAAUUUACCUUACCUGUGAUAAACCAUCUAUUCCAUGAUUUAUCAUAUGUCAUUUUGCAUCACCUAUAACAUUGGCUUAUGAUAUGUAUAUGUUUAAUUUUGGGCUAAUCCUGUACCCACUGUCUCCAGGGUGGCUGAGUACCUAUCUCAUAGCUCUGCACACCUCAGUAGGGGUUUGUAUGUAGGAGCUGCAAGCAAAGGUAAGUCCAGCUGGAAAACUGGAGAUGGAUGGAUUGACAGAGAUGAAGGGAAAACCCAGCAGAUCCAGAUCAUUCCCUGAAUGGCAGAACUAAAGAGAGCAGUUGCUCUGGCUUUGUCUCAUUGCGGUGCAAGACAUUUGUGUUUGUCCCAGUGAAGUGCCCUCUUCCAUGGUACUUUCCAAUCUCUCUGUCUCAUAGUGAGAUGUCUCACUUAACCCUAGCUCCUCUUGACUCCAUGGCUUUUAGCUGCUGUUGCUUGGCCUAACAGCUGGGAAUGACCCAGAAGAUGCUGUUCUGGAGGUGCACUCAUGCGAGGUGGCCAACCUGUAUGUGUCCAGCAUGGUCAGCAGCUGCUACCAGAUGAACUUAAUCGACUGCUCCUCUUCUCUUCUGGCAGCAAAAUUAAUGAUUUUGGGGGCUGCCUUCUAUGAUGUGCUGAAUUUUGCACAGGUCUGUUAUAAGAUUUUCCUACUUAAAAAAUGACUACACUGUUCAGCUCACUUGAAGCUGAACAAACAUGACAGAGAGAUGGUGUGAUGCACGCAAGCUUCAUUUUCUCACGAACCCAAGCUAAAAAAAAAAACCCCAAAUAUGCCUAAGAAAAUUUUCAGCCAACAUUUGAGAUGCUUGCCAUUAAUUAUCAAAAUGAAGAAGCAGAGUGUGCAAACACAGCAUUGAUUCAAACCAUCAGAAUCAAUUUAUCAAAAAAUAGAUGUGUUGAAAAUAAUACAUAAAACACAUUAGACUUGUACACUGCCCAGUAUCUCUAUUUAGUUUCUGCACCUGGCCUUGUUUUAACAGCCUCCAACCCUAAAAAUCACCUUGCUUUCCCCAAACUCUAGAAGAUAAACAGAAUUUAGGACCAUUUUCUUCCUUAGGUGUCAGAGAACCUUUGUCUUUUAAGGUUGUUUAUCCAAAGUGAGUAAAUUGAACUGGGUCAGCCUGAAUUAUGGAGAUGUUCUUCAGAGUGCCUGUGUUCCUGGAGCAUCUCUGGAGGACUGCUAGUCUGCAAGGUGUCUGCCACCAACCCGUCCUCUUGGCUGUUCUUGCUCACAGAGCUUCUGUGCUGUGACAAACAUACCUAUGCAGGCUUUGCAGAGCAGAUCUGGAUUUGUUGAUGCAAAAAGAUGUAGAUGCUAAACAUGCAUUUAUUGUGUCACUGUUGCUGUUGCUGUAAAGUCAGUAUUUUAAAGGCUUUAAAAUUUCUGGAAAUGGAUUUUUGAUUUAUUCUGAUAACAGUGUUCUGGUGCUUAUUCACUUGCCAUCUGUGUUCUGAAGGCCAGUUGGGAACUAUGGCUCUUACAAAUCAUCCCGUGCAUUUUGCGUUAAUCCAGACCUUCCUGCACUUCACUUGGUAGUUGUAAAUACAGUUUAUAAUUAAUACAGAAUGUGGUUCUUCUGCCCUGUGACUUGGAAACAUUAAAAGACAGCAUUCAGUCAUAGUUUAUGCAUCUGGUAAUGCAGACUGGGUUUUUUAAAAAGCCCAAAAGAAUUAGGCAUUCAAAUUUCAUUAAAAUGCUGUGGAAGUGAAGCAUAUAAGCUCUAUUAAAAGGCUCAGCCAUUAUCUAUAGCUCUUGGGUUUUUUUCCUCCAAUUUAAUUUGUUCAUAAGCCUGCUUUGGGGAGAGAAAUGGACAGGGCUGAUUUUGCUCACCUUUCCUUCUCCUUGGUGUUGAGGAAGAGCCCUGCCUUAGAGUUUGAGCAUGCUGUGGCUCACUGAGUUCUUCCAUUUUGAACUGCAGCUUCAUGUACCCACACAGGUACUGUUUGUAUAAUUAAAACCUCAUUUUCCUAUCUGUAAAAAUGAACCUAAGUAUCUCAUCAAUAAAGCUGGUGAUAUAGUUUGGUGAAUAUGAUGUUGACAAUUAUUUACCCAUAUAUAUGUUUGUCUAUUUAUCUAUCUCUGUAUCUAUGACAUCCUGGAAAUUAUCUGUACUUUUUAACACUUUGAAAUUUACAGGGAGAAAAAGCUGGAUUAAAAUCAGUGCAGAAAAUAAAAUUAUGCUACAGAAUGUAGAAUAAUUGGAUAUGUUUCUUUGAAAUACAAUGCAAUAUGACUGUUACUGUAAUAUUCUGUCACAUGUCUGAGAGAACACAGAAGUUUCCUUUAUAUGCAAGAAUGAGGAAAGUACAAAAUGAUAAAUAUAAUGAAGAGAAAGAUGAGGGAUCAAUAGGAUACAUAAUCAGGUGAAGGAGAGUAAGUAGGGAGGGAAGUUUGUUCUCCAGUCAGAAGGGAUUGCUGCAGCAGUACAGAAUAUGCAGAAUUGCUGCAGGAAGGAGUUAAUCAUUGUGCCAGCAACACUCAGCCCCUAUUUAUUGCAAAAGAGAAUUAAUGGUUUUCCUGCCUGGUGCUGAAAAUAGAAGUAAAAUUUAAGUUGUUUCUUGAAGGCAGAUAUAAUUAGAUUGUGAAACUUGUGGCUUUUGGGUCUAAAUAAUAGGACAAGAAUGACUACCCUAAAUCAGAACAGAGUGCAGUCUCUUAACUGUUUCUUAGGAGUGAGAAUAGGACAAGCACAGAGUGAUACUUUUCCCCAUUUUCCAGCUGUGAACAAUGUACACUCUACUUAUACUGUAGAUAAGGUGCAUUAUAUAUUUAUUAUCCUUUGCUGAACCCUUUCUCUACAGAUUGUUCCAAUUAUUUAUUAAACCCAUUUAUAUUUCUGUUAGCCACAACAUUCUUGUAACAAUAGACUAUACUCUGUGGCUGUGAAUUGUACAGAAAAUUUCUGUUUGAUUAAAACUGUGAUACUUGGUGCUUGUUAAGUUUUAUGAUAGGAUGAUUAGCUAGCAAAGAUUUCUUACUAACUAUAUUAUAUUCACUUUUAUAUACAGUUAUUUCUUCUCUUUCAUCUCCUUUUCAAGUGGAAAAGUACUUUCAUCCACCCUCAUACAGUUACAACAGUGUACUGCUAUUCAUCUGUGUUGUCUAGUAUACACCAUUCCUACUUCUAAUAAACCUUUGGACAUGGAUCAUUCAGACUUAGGUGAAGUUUUUGCAGUCUGGAUUUAUACAGUGGUGUAAUAUUGUUUCUUUUCAUUUUUACAUAAUGAUUUUUAAUUCAGUUUACAUUUUCUGUCUGCCAGUGAGCACUGGACAAAUGUUUUCAGAGAGUUGUCAACAAGGAGUCUAAGAUUCUUCCUGAAGUGGUACUAAAUUAUUUAUUUGUUUCUUAUUUGUCACUGUGUAUGUACAGUUAAGCUUCCCCCAUGUGUACUACUUUGCAUGUAUCGAUAUUAAAUAAUGUCUACAUUUUUUGUUGCUGAAUCACUCACUGUUCAGUAUAAUGACACCUUUUGAGGUAUUGAAUGUUUUGAGUAAUUUCUAUCAUCAGCAAACUUUACCAUCUCAUUAUUAAUUCCCUUUUCCAGAUCAUUUAUGAAUAUAUUGAAGAGGGAAAAUUCUAGUGCAGAUAUCUGAUCACUUCUCUCCCAUGGUGAAAACAAUUUAUUACUAUACUCCAACACAUCAUUUAUCUACUGAAGAAUUUUCAUCCUUCUGAUAAUUUAGUUUCUUUAAGAGCCUUUAGAGAGAGGACUUGUCAAAACAUUCAACUGGAAAUUCAAGAACACUACAGCAACUGGCAUUCAAAAGCUGGCUGACAUCUUUAAAGAACUAUUAAUACCAUCAUUUUAAUCAGCAAACAGUAAAUUGAAACCCCCAAAUUUAGUUUCUUUAUUUGAAAAUAUUACAUUAUUUGUAUACUAAGAAUAUCUCAAUUAUUUUUACUAUUCAUAUGAAGGUUUCUAGCAGUUAGUGACAAUUUCUGCAGAAAAGUUAUUUACUAUGAUGCCAGAAGCUCCAGAGCAAGGUACAGCUUUUCACUGACCCUGAGUGGAGCGUGGUUUCUUUGCGAUAUAAGUCUUCUAUUUAUUUUCUGUAAAUGACACAUCCCUGAAGCAACAGGGAGGGAAUGAAAGUUACAUUUUAUCACAGUAGCGUUUGCAGAAAGGUGAACUGUGAGAGUCCCUAUUUAUAAUGAAGCUUGGGCCAGCCAUGAGUUCCUAAAAACCUUACCUGCAGGUGCUUAAUUUUUUUUAUUAAAAAAUUGAUAUCUGAGCUUUAUGAACUUAUGAUUAAACUUUUAAAAUAAAUUAAAGGUGAGAGGAUUAGAUGUGAAAUUGGAAAUGAACUAUGGUAUCUUUUGCCUCUAGCUCAGCAUUUUGAAGGCAAUCCAAAUGAGAUGUGACAAAGUGCAGUCCACUCUUUUUUUUAUUUUUGCUGACCUAUGUGAAAGUGGAGUUUGGUCUCUGCCAAGUUCUUUGUGUGUGAAUAGCCACAGCACUAUCCCUGCUACUGUAAUUAGCACUAUUAACCCUUUAUUAUAAUUUAAAAUAAAUAGGCCAUGAUUUAGAUAUCAAAGAGACUAAAUCAUCCUCUUAGAUGAUCCGCCCAGACUAGAAGAACAGCCAGCUCCCACCAGCUCUCCUUUUUCCACUGUUUGACGCAAGUUACAAAGUCUGUUAUGGGACUUGGCUAUUCUUGGGAAAUUCCUUCCUGAUGGGAAGAACUUCAGCAGAAUUCCUCAUGAUGUCCAAAAAGGCGCUCCUACAUCUUCAAACUCCAAUCUAAACUUCACACACUUCCUCAAGAGAAUAAAGUUAAUCUACAUUGGCUUUUGCUUAUAAUGGCCUUGAUGCUGUUUCUGCUACCUGUUUACUGUUAGGCUGCCAGAAAAUCUUCAGACCUGUAAGUACAACCAGGUUAUCUCUCCUAGUCUUCCUACACUUAUAUAAGCCCUCAUGCAGUAGUAGAUGCCCUGGGAGGGAAAAUGGGAAGUGUUUUUUAAGAGAAACAUUGCAUGCAUCUUAGUGUUCACAUGAAUGCACCUACAGCUGGUGGUGACCAUCCUACCCCUUUCUCUUUGCUUAACCGAAACCCCAGCUGCUGCUUCUCUUUUCCCCAAAGCACCUAGUGGAUUUUCUGUUGCUCCUCUAUCUGAACUUUUAAUCUGCUCCAUGGAGAGAAGAGGAAGACUUAGCAGCUGGAAAUGGCCUAGUCCUUCAACCACACUGCUUGCCAAUGGUUGCUGGGUGAACAGAGGGCCAGUAAUCCUUAUCCUGCUGCCAUUCAGAGCCCCAAAUGAUGUACAGCAUACACCAAUGCUUCUGGACAAAGUAUGAUGGCACAGAAAUCUGUCAUUGCUCUUCUGGGGCAGUGAUCAUUAUCCAAAUGGUCUCUACGUUGUGGUAAUGGGAAAAAUAUUGAUGGCCUCAAUGUCUAUUGCAUUGGAUUAUUUCAAAAGCGAUUAGCAAUGACACCGGAGCCAAUGACGGGUGAUACACUACUGCCCUGCUUUAAAAGUCCUACAUGUUAUGUCAGCAGUAUGCUGGUAUUCAGCCUUCAAACAGAUGCAUGCCUUCAAACCACACAAGCACUAGCUGUUAUUUUGGAAGAAAAGAGCAGCAGUGUAAAUGUGCUUUUUUCGAUAUUUUCAGCUAAUUCUGGUCUAUUUUAAGUUUUUAUUCAAAAUAACUAUUUGGACUUAGUAUUAGAACAACAAAAACAUGCUGUGUCUUUCAAUGCAGACAAAAACUUAAGCUGUCAAUAUGCAAUCCUUGAAACAAUGAGAAUUUCAGCAACCAAGUAUGAGGCAAUUCUUGUUUCCCACGCUAGGUCAGCAUUUUCUUGUAGAGUUAGUUCAUGUCGUCAUAGGGUGCUCCAUGGAGGUGACUCAUUUGUGUAUUUUGGAGUUCAGACAAAGCCUACUAGCUGACUUUUCUCUGUUACCUUCCACAUGUUUUCCUGCACUUGGAACAGCACAGUCUGCCUGCUAUCUGCAAAUGAAACAGCUUCUCAUCUAUAUUUUCCUUACACACAAAGAGACUUCUAAGUGUGUCAGGCUAUGGCUGAGAAAGCUAGAUUGCAUGCUACCUGAAAAUUUUCACAGAGGGAUCUAAAAAUGAUCUUGUUUAAUUAACAGAUAGGGGUGUUUUUCUGUGCUGGUCCAACUAUUUGACAACUGCUACAGCUUGUAAAGUUGAGUAUAAUUACACAGGGCUGAAGAUCCCUAAUAAUGCAGUAGUUUUUCAUCUGUAUAGAAGUAACUAUGCCAGAAUGGCUGUAUUCAUAUAGACAUUACUGCAAUACAUGGUACCAGAUGUACCAUUUUAACUAUCUCGGUAUUGUUAAAAUGGGCAGUUUAACAUUUAUGUGUGUAUAAAGCCUUUAAGCAGAGAAAUGCUCAAUCUGUUCUCCAUUUUGGAAAAGUAUUUAUUACCUUAGGAAGAUUGUAGUCACCUUGACAACAUGAAGCUUUGCUCAAACUCUAUCAGUUCAAUUCUCUCUAUGUAGUCAGACAUGAAAUUGAGUUACAGUGGCUUAAUGGGUUACCACAUGUCAGUGGAGACAAAUCUGUGUGCAGUCCAGUAGCCCAUUGCCAAUACAAGGCAGAAAUCAUUAGAUCAAACAACUCCAUUUCACAGAGGUUUUAAAGAGUUUUUUCUUCUCAUGUAUGCUUGUAGUCUAAGAAUGAACACACAAUCUAUUGCUAUGUUCAGCUGAAGACUAAGGCAUUAUUAAGCAGUAAUAAGUUGAUCUUGUAACUGAGCUACAAAUCAGAAUUUUUAAAUAAUUUAAUUAAAUCAGUUUUAAAUUACUGAAUGGGAACUGAAAACAUGUAUAUAAGAAAUUAAUCUCUUUUAUAUGCUGACAAAAUAACACCUGUAAUGAGUGCAUUUAGUUCACUUAUAUACUGAUGACUGGAUAUUUUCAGAGGUAGCUUAGAAUCCAUGAUUUCCAUUUGAAAUAUUUCCAGGUGUGUUUAGGCAGUUUUUUUUUCCCAUUUAUCCCUAGAAUUUCAUGUUUAUGCUUGUUUCAAGAAAAUUACAUGAUCUUUUGGACUUCAGACAAUUUUACCUUCAUAAUGAAUCUUCUUUUUUAUUUUUUCAACCUGUCACAGAUUUGCUGACAUAUAAAGAAACACCUUUGGAGAGCCAAACCGCAACAUUAUGAACAAACAGCUAUAUUUGGGUUUGAUUCUUAACAAAACCAUGCUCUUUGUUUUGUAAGUUUUACUAAAAAAGAUAAAAUAAUUACUAUACUUAAAUUAAUGGCUCAAUAGAUAUCUCAUCUCUUGAUUAUAAUUAUGCUUAUAGCAAGAACAUUGCCAUCAAAUGUAAUGCCUGAAAAUGUUGUGAGAACUUCAAGAAACUGAGAUCUGACUACAAAUCAUCAAGUAAUGCCUCUAGGGUAAUGUGUUGAAGAAAAAGAGGGUUCUGCUCUUUCAGAAUUAAAAAAGAUUGUGGUCAUAUUAAAGUUUAUGUUAGUUUCAUCUUAGCUGACACUAAAGACCAUAAUUAUUUGCAAGAGAAAUUUGUAAGUAAAUAUUGUCAGCAUUUUUUCACACUUUUUUGUUGUGAAACAGAAACCAUUGAAUAUAAUGAGAAGGAAGUUAAGAAAUUCCCUCUCAGGAUACUGUGAGUUUCUUACAUAUUGCCACACCCUGUCAGUAAAAAACAGAUCUCUUAAUUGCAGCUAAUCUAGAUUGCUUGAAAUACUGAACUGCAAGCACCCGGCCAAAUUCUGUUUAGCAGCAAUGCUUACAGUUGCUCCUGGUGUCAAAAACUCCUGAGGUCAGAAUUUUAUCACCACUUCUUUAGCUUACUAGCAGAUUCUCCCUCUCGUUUUUGAGGGCUGUUGUGGUUUUUUUUUUGUUUUGUUGUGUUUUUUUGUUGCUGUAAGAAAAAGAGAGAGGAGAAAAAAAGCUCUAAACACUGAGCUAUUAUCUCUAAAAUUGAUUUAUGAUGGCUUAUGAAAUUUACCUGUACUUCAGUCCUUGAGGAGAAAAACAGUUGGGAGUAAAAGUAAUUUCAUAAUUAUGCUCAUCAGUCUCAUUUUUGGUAUCUUUUUUGAGCCAUGAGUAAAAGCACAAAUGUUCUUUUCAAGUAAGGUGGACCUGAGACUGAUUUCUCAUCAACCUCCAAAUAACCUGUCUGUAGUAACUUCUGGUUUACCUGGAUUGGAUUAGGUUUGGCAAAUUGGAGGUACACUGCUUUCCUGGAAAUCUCAGGAAAAAAAAGCUCCCAGGAAGUCAGUUUUCCACUAAAUUGUAAAAAAGUUUUAUCAAGUUUUUUUGUUUUUUUUUAUCUUAAUCUUUGUGCAGCAUUAAUUUGCAUAUUUCAUUCCUUACUGUAAAUUUUGUUCCAUGGCAAUUGCAUUGCUUUUUAUAACUGUGCUGUGAAUGAAGCAAGCCUUAGAACUAUUCUUUUCUAUUUUGACUUUUUUGUAUGUGUUUCUAUUUAUAGAUAAGGAUGGGACCAACUUCCCACCUUUUGAUAAGUAAAGAAUAAAACAGGUAAUUCUAUGGUAAGACCUGUCAGAAUCAGUCAAAGGGAACAUGUUAUUUUUAGUCCUACUGACUUUUUGGAUAAAAGCUUAAAAGGAGGAAGAUCAACAUAUAACUGAAAUUAAGCCCUUGACAAUGCCUAUUCUGCUGUGUAAUUCAUAAAUUAAUGGGUCAUGAAAAGACCUUUAAAGAAUGUUAUCCAUCAGAAAUACUACCUUUGUAUGUGCAGUGCCUGCAUCCCAGAAACCCUUGUGUUGAAUUUGCCUUACUAGGAGCCUGCAAUCCUUUUGAGAAAGGAUGAAAGGACCAUAAAAUAAGUUUAUGUUGUUCAGUCACCAAAUGUUAUAAAUGACUAACACAAUAUAAGCAAACCAGUAAAUCUAAUCUUUUGCAAUAUGUAUAUUUAACAGUCAUAAAAUCUACUUUUGGGGGUGUUGAUAUUAGACCUUUGUUUUAGAUGAUGCUUGCCAUAUAUCUAAAUUUUUUAGAUCUCUGAAUAAAGCUAAUUUUUCUUUCUAGAAGCAAACAUAUAAUUUCCAAGGUGACAAGAAAUCUCCCACAGAAAUUGUACAAUAAUAGGAUCUAGUAAAUGCUUGCUAUUCAAAAUAAGUUUACCACCACAGCAUCUGAAAACCUCAUCGUGAAGGUGACAGACAAGUGUCCAGAAGGCAGAUCUCACUGCGUGAAAAACAUGGGAGGUGUUUGCCUCCACUAAUUUGUCUGGCUAUCAAGCUCAGUUACUGACCACUGGGUUCCAAAGUGAGGAGUGAAAGCAUGCUUUGCCAUGGUUUAAUGCUCUUCAGGCCAAAACCUCUCCAGUGAUGCACUAUUAAAAGUGCAAAUCAGAAAGUGAGCAGAGCAGGGACCACAACAUGGACUAGAACUGUGACAGUUCACUCUUCAUAAUUAAACUGAUAGCAAGAUUAAGUAAGGGUUUCUUUUAUAAAAUGAAGAGUGCAGGAUGGUAAGAGGUAAUCUGCCUUUUAAUAGAAACAAGAUAUGAAACAUGUAUUCUCGUGUUUGUACUGGAUAAGAUCCUAUUCAAUGCUGAUGAUGUAAUAUGUGAAUGUUGGAUGGAAAUAAGAUGAUUUACAUUUAUUAUAUGUUAUGCCAUGUAACGAUUAUCUAAAGUAUCUUUUCUUUGUCAUGAUUUAAAACCAGAUCUUAUCAUGUCAUGGAAAAUAUGAAAAAAAAGAUUUUGUGAACACUGGAUGUGUGCAUAUGUUAUCUUACAAUGCUUGCCACUUAUGAGGAUAUAGAAAACAGACUGUUUAUUCUCCAGAGAAGUUUAAAGUAUUAAUUAUUUUGAAUGCUCUUUAAUAUAAUUGGUACUUCCAAAGAACUUGACUUAGAAAAUUAGAAGUUUCUAAAGCAAACACCCAACAAACAAACACCCAGCAAUUCUUUCUGGGCUUCAUUUUAGCUAGUUGUGCAUACUUAAAUGAGACUAAGAUUUUCCCUAAAAUUGUUAAAACUAUGUAUGUUUAGAAUGGUAACUAAUUCCUAAUAGCACCUUUAAAUCACAGUAUUUACAUUCCUGAUCCAAAAGACAACAAAGAAGUCACAGAGAAAAAAUAAUUGUCCAUAUCUGUAGAUAUAUGACAUAGCAUAGAAACAUAGAAUGUUUUUUCCCCCUAAUGCUUGUAGUUUUCAUACUUUGUUUUUCUAAGUCAGAGUGCUUCAGGUUGGGAUCUCGGUAUCUGAUUGUGGAACAGCUCCAUGAAGAGAGAUUGUGAGCAGUGCUUCUUACACUAGCUGAGACCCUGUGGGGCAGAACACUCCUUUGGAUAGUGAGAUAAUAUCACCAUCAUGUCUUAAAUAGGAAUCUCCAACAUUUGACUCUUCACUACCACAUUCCUUGCUAUUAAAUUGUUGUGGUCUGUUUGGUGUUUUCCUGAAUGUAUUAAAUCUUUCUAUCCUCAACAACUAGUGUGAUCUUGAUGAUAUGAUUAAUUUGACAAUAUUUCCAUAUUUCUUAAAAAACCCUCCAAACCAGCUGGAUUAACUCUAGGUUAGUUCAGAAAUAUAUCACACAUUGUCAUCAUAAAUAAAUUUGUUUGACAGUACCUAUACGUGUCCUUUGUUCACUAUCAUAAUUCU